rnacentral:rRNA from 1 species
GAUGAACGCUAGCGAUAGGCUUAACACAUGCAAGUCGAGGGGUAACGUGUUGGAAGCUUGCUUCCGAUGACGACGACCGGCGGAUGGGUGCGUAACGCGUAUGCAACUUGCCUCACAGUGGAGAAUAACCCGGAGAAAUCCGGACUAAUACUCCAUACACUCUUAAGUACGCCUGUACAUGAGAGGAAAGAUUUAUCGCUGUGAGAUAGGCAUGCGUCCUAUUAGGUAGUUGGUGAGGUAACGGCUCACCAAGCCGACGAUAGGUAGGGGUGCUGAGAGGCAGAUCCCCCACAUUGGGACUGAGACACGGCCCAAACUCCUACGGGAGGCAGCAGUGAGGAAUAUUGGUCAAUGGAGGAAACUCUGAACCAGCCAAGUCGCGUGAAGGAAGAAUGUCCUAAGGAUUGUAAACUUCUUUAGCGAGCGAGUAAGGACUUCCACGUGAUGGGAGUUUGAAAGUAGCUCGAGAAUAAGUAGCGGCUAACUCCGUG